UACGGAGGAUGCGAGCGUUAUCCGGAUUUAUUGGGUUUAAAGGGUGCGCAGGCGGCACGGCAAGCCGGCGGUCAAAUCGCGGGGCUCAACCCCGCCCAGCCGUCGGAACUGCCGGGCUAGAGUGGGCGAGAAGUGCGCGGAAUGUGUGGUGUAGCGGUGAAAUGCAUAGAUAUCACGCAGGACUCCGAUUGCGAAGGCAGCGCACCGGCGCCCUACUGACGCUCAGGCACGAAAGCGUGGGUAUCGAACAGG
rnacentral:rRNA from 1 species